rnacentral:misc_RNA from 1 species
GACCAAUAAAUUUUGGAGAAAUUAAAUAUAGCAAUAUUUAUAAAUUUUGUUCUUAUAAAUUUGGGUCUUAAGAACAAAAUUGAAACUCGUAUUUUUAGUUUUAGAACUCCAAAAAAAGGCUAGCCAGGGGGCAAUAUAAGGGCAAAAUUUUCAUAUACGGCUUGAUGUAAUGACCAAGAAUGAAUUUUAUUAUCUCUAACAGAUAUAGCCCCUAGGCUGGUAUUUUUUUGGAGGGAGUUUAGCCCAACAUUUCUGGCUGAUAAGUAUUAUUAAUAUUAGCAAGAUAUAUAUACUUAACCCUACCAUG